rnacentral:rRNA from 1 species
UUUAUCAGAGAGUUUGAUCCUGGCUCAGGAUGAACGCUGGCGGCGUGCUUAACACAUGCAAGUCGAACGGGAAACUUUUCAUUGAAGCUUCGGCAGAUUUGGUCUGUUUCUAGUGGCGGACGGGUGAGUAACGCGUGGGUAACCUGCCUUAUACAGGGGGAUAACAACCAGAAAUGGUUGCUAAUACCGCAUAAGCGCACAGGACCGCAUGGUCCGGUGUGAAAAACUCCGGUGGUAUAAGAUGGACCCGCGUUGGAUUAGCUAGUUGGCAGGGUAACGGCCUACCAAG